rnacentral:rRNA from 1 species
UACGGAGGGUGCAAGCGUUGUCCGGAUUUAUUGGGUUUAAAGGGUGCGUAGGCGGUCUUUUAAGUCAGUGGUGAAAUCCUCCAGCUCAACUGGAGAACUGCCAUUGAUACUGGAAGACUUGAGUAUAGUUGAGGUAGGCGGAAUUGACAGUGUAGCGGUGAAAUGCAUAGAUAUUGUCAAGAACACCGAUUGCGAAGGCAGCUAACUAAACUAUAACUGACGCUGAGGCACGAAAGUGCGGGGAUCAAACAGG